ACACUUAACGAGCAAGGUGGAGGCUUGGGAAGAAACGGGUCAAACGAAUCAAGAAGGAAAAGAAAAGCGUAGCUCGGAUACGAGGUAAAGAUGCUCUUUAGACCCCGGAGGAUGAUCAAGCCAUGUCAAGAACCGAACACACCGAACAAAGCUUCCGCAUUUUGUCUAUUUUGUUUUAUGACAUGUAAACACUUGAAAUUAUGUUUUGAAAGUUUAUCUAGCAUGAUGUAGGCUUGAAUGUUAUGAUCAAGUAUGAUCUUAAAACCAUGAAGUUUUUGUAAACUCGAAAAAUUUUGUACUAAAUGCAUGAUAAAUGUCAUAAAUCCUGUUAUUUUAA